rnacentral:sRNA from 1 species
AUGCGCCUGCCGCGCCGGGCCGCGCUGGGGCUCCUGCCGCUUCUGCUGCUGCUGCCGCCCGCGCCGGAGGCCGCCAAGAAGCCGACGCCCUGCCACCGGUGCCGGGGGCUGGUGGACAAGUUUAACCAGGGGAUGGUGGACACCGCAAAGAAGAACUUUGGCGGCGGGAACACGGCUUGGGAGGAAAAGACGCUGUCCAAGUACGAGUCCAGCGAGAUUCGCCUGCUGGAGAUCCUGGAGGGGCUGUGCGAGAGCAGCGACUUCGAAUGCAACCAGAUGCUAGAGGCGCAGGAGGAGCACCUGGAGGCCUGGUGGCUGCAGCUGAAGAGCGAAUAUCCUGACUUAUUCGAGUGGUUUUGUGUGAAGACACUGAAAGUGUGCUGCUCUCCAGGAACCUACGGUCCCGACUGUCUCGCAUGCCAGGGCGGAUCCCAGAGGCCCUGCAGCGGGAAUGGCCACUGCAGCGGAGAUGGGAGCAGACAGGGCGACGGGUCCUGCCGGUGCCACAUGGGGUACCAGGGCCCGCUGUGCACUGACUGCAUGGACGGCUACUUCAGCUCGCUCCGGAACGAGACCCACAGCAUCUGCACAGCCUGUGACGAGUCCUGCAAGACGUGCUCGGGCCUGACCAACAGAGACUGCGGCGAGUGUGAAGUGGGCUGGGUGCUGGACGAGGGCGCCUGUAUGGAUGUGGACGAGUGUGCGGCCGAGCCGCCUCCCUGCAGCGCUGCGCAGUUCUGUAAGAACGCCAACGGCUCCUACACGUGCGAAGGUGGGCCAGGCGGGCGGGUCUGCACUCCGGGGCCUGCCGGGUUUCGUUGCUGCCUUUGUCAACAUUCAUUUAUGGCUUCUUAG